rnacentral:rRNA from 1 species
GACGAACACUGGCGGCGUGCCUAAUACAUGCAAGUCGAGCGAAUCACUGGGAGCUUGCUCCCGGUGGUUAGCGGCGGACGGGUGAGUAACACGUGGGCAACCUGCCUGUAAGACUGGGAUAACACCGGGAAACCGGUGCUAAUACCGGAUAAUCCUUUUCUGCUCAUGCAGGAAAGCUGAAAGUCGGUUUCGGCUGACACUUACAGAUGGGCCCGCGGCGCAUUAGCUAGUUGGUGGGAUAACGGCUCACCAAGGCAACGAUGCGUAGCCGACCUGAGAGGGUGAUCGGCCACACUGGGACUGAGACACGGCCCAGACUCCUACGGGAGGCAGCAGUAGGGAAUCAUCCACAAUGGACGAAAGUCUGAUGGAGCAACGCCGCGUGAGCGAUGAAGGCCUUCGGGUCGUAAAGCUCUGUUGUUAGGGAAGAACAAGUACCGGAGUAACUGCCGGUACCUUGACGGUACCUAACCAGAAAGCCACGGCUAACUACGUGCCAGCCGCCGCGGUAA